rnacentral:rRNA from 1 species
UACAAUAUAGACUGGUGUUUUUCGUCAUUAUUAGGUUUAAAGGGUUCCUAGACGGUUAUAUAAAUAAAUGUCUUUACUAUAGAUAAGUGUAGCUUAUCUACAAUCAGAUUAUUAUAUUAACUAGAGUAACAAGGCAAGAAUUUAGUCAUUACACAGGAAAGUUAGAAUUUUGAGAUAGUGUAGGUACUGAUAAGGGUGCAGAUAAAAUUCUAAAUUAACUUCAUGUCCGACUGACGUCGAGGGACGAAGGCACGUGGAAACGAAUCGG